AAAGGGGCUUCGGCUCCGAGUAAAGUGGCGCACGGGUGAGUAACACGUGGGUAACCUGCCUCUAAGAUUGGGAUAACUCGUCGAAAGAUGAGCUAAUACCGGAUAAGACCACAGUUCCCGCGGGAACAGGGGUCAAAGGUAGCCUCUGCUUGCAAGCUAUCACUUAGAGAUGGGCCUGCGCACCAUUAGCUAGUUGGUAGGGUAACGGCCUACCAAGGCAAAGAUGGUUAGCUGGUCUGAGAGGAUGAUCAGCCACACUGGAACUGAGACACGGUCCAGACUCCUACGGGAGGCAGCAGUGGGGAAUAUUGCGCAAUGGGCGAAAGCCUGACGCAGCAACGCCGCGUGAGUGAUGAAGGCCUUCGGG
rnacentral:rRNA from 1 species